GCGAGAGUGGCGGAAUUGGCAGACGCACUGGAUUUAGGUUCCAGCGCCGCAAGGCGUGGGGGUUCGAGUCCCUUCUCUCGCACCA
rnacentral:tRNA from 1 species